rnacentral:tRNA from 1 species
GGGGCUGUGGCUCAGUGGUAGAGCAUCUGCUUGGCAUACAGAAGGUCCCAGGUUCAAUCCUUGGCAUCUCCA